AAAAACUCAAUUUGUGGGUUUCCGUGUCUAACGAUUGACCGUCUAUCUUAUUUAAAAAAUUAUGAAAAAAUUUAAAAAGAUAAGUCAUGCAUAAAGUAUUAUUCAUGUUUUAUCAUCUAACAAUAAUGAAAAAUACUAAUCAUAAAAAAAAUUUCAUAUAAGACGGACAGUCAAACGUUGGACACUGGAACCCAAGAAUUGAGUCUUU
rfam:Oryza glumipatula chromosome 5, whole genome shotgun sequence.